rnacentral:rRNA from 1 species
UACGUAGGGUGCGAGCGUUAAUCGGAAUUACUGGGCGUAAAGGGUGCGCAGGCGGCGUCGCAAGUCAGGCGUGAAAUCCCCGGGCUUAACCUGGGAACUGCACUUGAAACUACGAUGCUGGAGUAUGGCAGAGGGAGGUGGAAUUCCACGUGUAGCGGUGAAAUGCGUAGAGAUGUGGAGGAACACCGAUGGCGAAGGCAGCCUCCUGGGCCAACACUGACGCUCAUGCACGAAAGCGUGGGGAGCAAACAGG